rnacentral:lncRNA from 1 species
CCAUGGAGUACGGGCUGGUUUUUGUGGUGUAUAGCGGCUGUGAUAGCAGGGUGAUCUCCCGAAUGGUGUGUGGCUUGUGUUGGCUGCGGGCUGGAGGCUGGAGGCUGGUGGCUGGUUGUUUUGAGGUGAAAAUCCAUUCACCAAAUCUGGUGUGACAGCAGGAUGCUCUCCCGAAUGGUGUGUGGCUUGUGUUGGUUGGGGGCUGGAGGCUGGAGGCUGGUUGGCUUGAGAUGAAAGCUUGGAGAUGGCUGUUGGAGGGGUGAGGAUGGUUGUUGGAGGGAUGACGAUGGCGGUGUGUUUGCGGAAGUUGGGGGCUGUUGGGCUAGCGUUUGACUCUUGUAUUUUGAUCGAGUUUGCCUUUGGGAUCUCCUAAGAAAUGGAGGUUCAUUUCUAGAAGUGGGAGGAGGAGCCGGUGGUGGAUGGUUGCCAUUUUCGUCGGCCGGCGAGGUGAGAAUCAGCUUGUCUAGAGCAAAGCUUUCUUCCCCAUCUUCAAGAGAAUGGAGAAGAGAUUUUGCUAUCUCACGGCAGCAUUCAUGGUCAUUGAUGUCACCAGUUAUUGCCAUUUCUUUUUGUUCACUUACGGCAUUAGAUGUGAGUGAAGGUUGCUGAAGUUUCGAGAGGAUAGCGGCAGUGGAGAAGAGCCGGUGGUGGAUGGUUGCCAUUUUCAUCGACCAACGAGGUGAGAAUCAGCUUGUCUCGAGCAAAGCUUUCUUCCCCAUCUUCAAGAGAAUGGAGA